rnacentral:rRNA from 1 species
ACGUAUUGUAUACGUCUGAAGAGUGAGCUUGCUGGCAGCAUUAUGCUAGUAUGGUAACGGUAAUGGCUUACCAAGGCGCACGAUCUGUAUGCCGACCUGAGAGGGUGGUCGGUCACACUGACACUGAACUAACGGGUUCAGGACUCCUACGGGAGGCAUGCAGUCGGGAAUUUUGGGCAACUGGGCGAAAGUCCUGAUCCCAGCAACGCCGCGCUGAAGGAUGAAGUCUUUCGGGAUGUAAACUUCGUAAGAAUAGGAAGAAUAAAGUGACGGUACUAUUUGUAAGGUCCGGCUAACUACGUGCCAGCAGCCGCGGUAAUACGUAGUGGACCAAGCGUUGUUCGGAUUUACUGGUGCGUAAAGGGCGCGUAGUGCGGCGUAUCAAUGUCACUUGUGAAAUCUCCGAGCUUAACGUCGGAACGGUCAAGUGAUACUGAUAUGCUAGAGUACAGAAAGGGUAAUCGGAAUUCUUGGUGUAGCGGUGAAAUGCGUAGAUAUCAAGAGGAACACCAGAGGCGAAGGCGGAUUACUAGGGCUGAUACUGACGCUGAGGCGCGAAAGCUAGGGUAGCAAACGGGAUUAGAUACCCCGGUAGUCCUAGCCCUA